UGUAGCUCAGUGGUAGAGUGCUUGCCUAGCAUGCAUGAGACCCUGGGUACAAUCUCUAGCA
rnacentral:tRNA from 1 species